rnacentral:rRNA from 1 species
CCUACGGGAGGCAGCAGUAGGGAAUCUUCCGCAAUGGACGAAAGUCUGACGGAGCAACGCCGCGUGAGUGAAGAAGGUUUUCGGAUCGUAAAACUCUGUUGUUAGGGAAGAACAAGUGCCGUUCGAAUAGGGCGGCACCUUGACGGUACCUAACCAGAAAGCCAUGGCUAACUACGUGCCAGCAGCCGCGGUAAUACGUAGGUGGCAAGCGUUGUCCGGAAUUAUUGGGCGUAAAGCGCGCGCAGGUGGUUUCUUAAGUCUGAUGUGAAAGCCCACGGCUCAACCGUGGAGGGUCAUUGGAAACUGGGGAACUUGAGUGCAGAAGAGGAAAGUGGAAUUCCAAGUGUAGCGGUGAAAUGCGUAGAUAUUUGGAGGAACACCAGUGGCGAAGGCGACUUUCUGGUCUGUAACUGACACUGAGGCGCGAAAGCGUGGGGAGCAAACAGGAUUAGAUACCCUGGUAGUCCACGCCGUAAACGAUGAGUGCUAAGUGUUAGAGGGUUUCCGCCCUUUAGUGCUGCAGCUAACGCAUUAAGCACUCCGCCUGGGGAGUACGGUCGCAAGACUGAAACUCAAAUGAAUUGACGG